rnacentral:rRNA from 1 species
AUGAUGAUUUAGUGAGGCCUUCUUCCUGGCGGUCUUGGACUGGGCUCCACUCGCCAUCACUCCAGCAAUGGGGGGCGGUGGACUCGCCAUGACGAGCCGGAAAGAUGUCCAAACUUGAUCAUUUAGAGGAAGUAAAAGUCGUAACAAGGUUUCCGUAGGUGAACCUGCGGAAGGAUCAU